AACGAACGCUGGCGGCAUGCCUAACACAUGCAAGUCGAACGAGACCUUCGGGUCUAGUGGCGCACGGGUGCGUAACGCGUGGGAACCUGCCCUUAGGUUCGGAAUAACUCCCCGAAAGGGGUGCUAAUACCGGAUAAUGUCUUCGGACCAAAGAUUUAUCGCCUUUGGAUGGGCCCGCGUUGGAUUAGCUAGUUGGUAGGGUAAAAGCCUACCAAGGCGACGAUCCAUAGCUGGUCUGAGAGGAUGAUCAGCCACACUGGGACUGAGACACGGCCCAGACUCCUCCGGGAGGCAGCAGGGGGGAAUAUUGGACAAUGGGCGAAAGCCUGAUCCAGCAAUGCCGCGUGAGUGAUGAAGGCCUUAGGGUUGUAAGGCUCUUUUACCCGGGAUGAUAAGAACGGAACCGGGAGAAUAAGCGCCGGCAAACUCCGU
rnacentral:rRNA from 1 species